ACGAACGCUGGCGGCGCGCCUAACACAUGCAAGUCGAACGAGAGAUGAGGAGCUUGCUCUUCAAAUCGAGUGGCGAACGGGUGAGUAACGCGUGAGGAACCUGCCUCAAAGAGGGGGACAACAGUUGGAAACGACUGCUAAUACCGCAUAAGCCCACGGCUCGGCAUCGAGCAGAGGGAAAAGGAGCAAUCCGCUUUGAGAUGGCCUCGCGUCCGAUUAGCUAGUUGGUGAGGUAAUGGCCCACCAAGGCGACGAUCGGUAGCCGGACUGAGAGGUUGAACGGCCACAUUGGGACUGAGACACGGCCCAGACUCUUACGGGAGGCAGCAGUGGGGAAUAUUGCACAAUGGGGGAAACCCUGAUGCAGCGACGCCGCGUGGAGGAAGAAGGUCUUCGGAUUGUAAACUCCUGUUGUUGAGGAAGAUAAUGACGGUACUCAACAAGAAAGUGACGGCUAACUACGUGCCAGCAGCCGCGGUAAAACGUAGGUCACAAGCGUUGUCCGGAAUUACUGGGUGUAAAGGGAGCGCAGGCGGGAGAACAAGUUGGAAGUGAAAUCCAUGGGCUCAACCCAUGAACUGCUUUCAAAACUGUUUUUCUUGAGUAGUGCAGAGGUAGGCGGAAUUCCCGGUGUAGCGGUGGAAUGCGUAGAUAUCGGGAGGAACACCAGUGGCGAAGGCGGCCUACUGGGCACCAACUGACGCUGAGGCUCGAAAGUGUGGGUAGCAAACAGGAUUAGAUACCCUGGUAGUCCACACCGUAAACGAUGAUUACUAGGUGUUGGAGGAUUGACCCCUUCAGUGCCGCAGUUAACACAAUAAGUAAUCCACCUGGGGAGUACGACCGCAAGGUUGAAACUCAAAUGAAUUGACGGAAGG
rnacentral:rRNA from 1 species